rnacentral:rRNA from 1 species
UACGAAGGGGGCUAGCGUUGCUCGGAAUGACUGGGCGUAAAGGGCGCGUAGGCGGCUUGGCAAGUCAGGCGUGAAAUUCCUGGGCUCAACCUGGGGGCUGCGUUUGAUACGUGCAGACUUGAGUUCGGAAGAGGGUCGUGGAAUUCCCAGUGUAGAGGUGAAAUUCGUAGAUAUUGGGAAGAACACCGGUGGCGAAGGCGGCGACCUGGUCCGAUACUGACGCUGAGGCGCGAAAGCGUGGGGAGCAAACAGG